rnacentral:misc_RNA from 1 species
CGGAUGAGAGAGGAGGCCGCCGACGAGGCUUCCGCGCUACUUAAUGCGCCUCCAGUAACGCCCCUGUGCCCGUGUCGGGCCGGGAUGGGAACCCGGUCCUGCUAGACACGGCGUCGUCGGGAUUUUUCAGAGGUGAGCCGGACAGUCCCCAUGGAGGAGAAGUCUGACCUUUUCGCCGAGGCCAGCCUGUCGCUGGAGGGAUCCUGUUGCCUGCAGAUCCGGGACCCUCCAAUUAAAGCGGCUGAUGGCUCCCGCAGGGGUUUUGGUCAGUAUUGCUGAAGCCGACAUAUGGUCUA